GCCAUCUGGAAUGAAAAGAAGACAAAGAGGUAAGUAAAAGAGACUUCAUUGUACUUUGAAUUAUUAGACCCAUCUCUUUGGGCCACGAGUCACUGUGAAAACAAUAUCUUUAAGAGAAACAAUAACAAGAAAGCUUGAGUUACAAGAAGACGACAUUGGUAGUGAGACUGAGUCAGCACCAGGCCGUAUAAUAAGUAGAUGUGAAAAUGUUUCUUAAAGACAGUAGUCUAGCCAAAUGGGAGUUCUGGCUUCAAAUUCUGAAAAGUCUGUCUGACAGGAAAAUGAGCAGAUUGACGCUGCUGCAGCAGAGGACAGGGCUAAGCCACGGCGCAGGCUAGGAAUGGAAAGAGAGUCUGGAGCCGCUGUUCAAUACACCGGGAGGGAGAGCAGCCCUCCUUGGGUGUGGUUCCCGCAACCACGAAGAUAGCUAAGGGAGGAGGAAGGGGUGGACUGAACGGCUUCUGAGGCCUUGAGAUGCUUAAGCCAAACCAAACUCUCUUAGCCACAUUCCUUCCAAAUUCUUGCUAAAAUGUCUGAUGGUGCAAAUGUUAACUCUUGGCUUCUUUAAGAUAAUGCGGGUUACUUCUGCUCUUAGACCACAGCAAAGCUGCCUGUGCCUCUAAAGCUGUAGCCAAUGUGCAGUGCGAACCUGGUAACAGAACAGUCCUAGUCCUCCCACCCCCUCCCCGCCGUGUGUGUGUGUGUGUGUGUGUGUGUGUGUGUGUGUGUGUGUGUGUAUGUGUGUGUGAUUUCUCACCAUCUAGUCACCCUGCAUUGAGUCAACCCUUCACACCUUGUGAGCAGUGCAUUUUCAAUAAUACUCAUUUGGGAUCACUCCCGUCCCUUCCUGGUAGGAGGCUGAUAUUAUUUUCCACACCUUAAAAUCAAACACAAACUCAGACACUUGAAGAAAUUUUCACAAGGUCACUGAAAAUUAGAUGGAGACGCAGGGCGCUAACAGGAUGCUUAAUUUGCAGAGUCACACAGCGCCCCACACAGCGCCCCCAGGCUCCACAGGGGGGCUGCCUGACAGGCCCAGGAAAAUGCAGUGGUGGCUUCAGCCCUACUUUUCAGUUCCUGCUUUUGAAUGAGCAAAACAAUCACCAUGUUUUUAUAAUUUUUAAAAAGGAAGAAAGAAACAGAACGAGAACCAUUGACAAAGCCACAGGAAGGCUUCGAGGUGCACCGCCUGGGCUCCAUCUUACUCUUUGUCUGUUUUAUCCAAUUCUAGAUCAUAACACGUCACUAAGAAGAGGUUUUUGAUGUUGUUUAUUUUGUUUUGCUUUUUGUUUUUUAAUAAAUCCACAUAGAAAA
rnacentral:lncRNA from 1 species